rnacentral:rRNA from 1 species
UCAUGGCUCAGGACGAACGCUGGCGGCGUGCUUAACACAUGCAAGUCGAACGGAAAGGCCCUUCGGGGUACUCGAGUGGCGAACGGGUGAGUAACACGUGGGUGAUCUGCCCUGCACUUUGGGAUAAGCCUGGGAAACUGGGUCUAAUACCGAAUACACCCUGCUGGUCGCAUGGCCUGGUGGGGGAAAGCUUUUGCGGUGUGGGAUGGGCCCGCGGCCUAUCAGCUUGUUGGUGGGGUGAUGGCCUACCAAGGCGACGACGGGUAGCCGGCCUGAGAGGGUGACCGGCCACACUGGGACUGAGAUACGGCCCAGACUCCUACGGGAGGCAGCAGUGGGGAAUAUUGCACAAUGGGCGCAAGCCUGAUGCAGCGACGCCGCGUGGGGGAUGACGGCCUUCGGGUUGUAAACUCCUUUCGCCAGGGACGAAGCGCAAGUGACGGUACCUGGAGAAGAAGGACCGGCCAACUACGUGCCAGCAGCCGCGGUAAUACGUAGGGUCCGAGCGUUGUCCGGAAUUACUGGGCGUAAAGAGCUCGUAGGUGGUUUGUCGCGUUGUCCGUGAAAACUCACAGCUUAACUGUGGGCGUGCGGGCGAUACGGGCAGACUAGAGUACUGCAGGGGAGACUGGAAUUCCUGGUGUAGCGGUGGAAUGCGCAGAUAUCAGGAGGAACACCGGUGGCGAAGGCGGGUCUCUGGGCAGUAACUGACGCUGAGGAGCGAAAGCGUGGGGAGCGAACAGGAUUAGAUACCCUGGUAGUCCACGCCGUAAACGGUGGGUACUAGGUGUGGGUUUCCUUCCUUGGGAUCCGUGCCGUAGCUAACGCAUUAAGUACCCCGCCUGGGGAGUACGGCCGCAAGGCUAAAACUCAAAGGAAUUGACGGGGGCCCGCACAAGCGGCGGAGCAUGUGGAUUAAUUCGAUGCAACGCGAAGAACCUUACCUGGGUUUGACAUGCACAGGACGCCGGCAGAGAUGUCGGUUCCCUUGUGGCCUGUGUGCAGGUGGUGCAUGGCUGUCGUCAGCUCGUGUCGUGAGAUGUUGGGUUAAGUCCCGCAACGAGCGCAACCCUUGUCUCAUGUUGCCAGCACGUAAUGGUGGGGACUCGUGAGAGACUGCCGGGGUCAACUCGGAGGAAGGUGGGGAUGACGUCAAGUCAUCAUGCCCCUUAUGUCCAGGGCUUCACACAUGCUACAAUGGCCGGUACAAAGGGCUGCGAUGCCGUGAGGUGGAGCGAAUCCUUUCAAAGCCGGUCUCAGUUCGGAUCGGGGUCUGCAACUCGACCCCGUGAAGUCGGAGUCGCUAGUAAUCGCAGAUCAGCAACGCUGCGGUGAAUACGUUCCCGGGCCUUGUACACACCGCCCGUCACGUCAUGAAAGUCGGUAACACCCGAAGCCGGUGGCCUAACCCCUUGUGGGAGGGAGCC